AUUGAACGCUGGCGGCAUGCUUUACACAUGCCAGUCGAACGGUAACAGGCCUUCGGGUGCUGACGAGUGGCGAACGGGUGAGUAAUGCAUCGGAACGUACCCAGAGGUGGGGGAUAACGCAGCGAAAGCGGUGCUAAUACCGCAUGUGAUCUGAGGAUGAAAGCGGGGGACCGAGCAGAAAUGUUUGGCCUCGCGCCUUUGGAGCGGCCGAUGUCGGAUUAGCUAGUUGGUGGGGUAAAGGCCUACCAAGGCGACGAUCCGUAGCUGGUCUGAGAGGACGACCAGCCACACUGGGACUGAGACACGGCCCAGACUCCUACGGGAGGCAGCAGUGGGGAAUUUUGGACAAUGGGCGCAAGCCUGAUCCAGCAAUGCCGCGUGCGGGAAGAAGGCCUUCGGGUUGUAAACCGCUUUUGGCAGGAACGAAACGGUGUCCGCUAAUACCGGGCGCUAAUGACGGUACCUGCAGAAUAAGCACCGGCUAACUACGUG
rnacentral:rRNA from 1 species